AGCGAACGCUGGCGGCAGGCCUAACACAUGCAAGUCGAACGAACCUUUCGGGGUUAGUGGCGGACGGGUGAGUAACACGUGGGAACGUGCCUUUAGGUUCGGAAUAACUCAGGGAAACUUGUGCUAAUACCGAAUGUGCCCUUCGGGGGAAAGAUUUAUCGCCUUUAGAGCGGCCCGCGUCUGAUUAGCUAGUUGGUUGAGGUAAUGGCUCACCAAGGCGACGAUCAGUAGCUGGUCUGAGAGGAUGAUCAGCCACAUUGGGACUGAGACACGGCCCAAACUCCUACGGGAGGCAGCAGUGGGGAAUCUUGCGCAAUGGGCGAAAGCCUGACGCAGCCAGGCCGCGUGAAUGAUGAAGGUCUUAGGAUUGUAAAAUUCUUUCACCGGGGACGAUAAUGACGGUACCCGGAGAAGAAGCCCCGGCUAACUUCGUG
rnacentral:rRNA from 1 species